GGGCUGCUGAGAUGGCGGCCGCCUCCCGAGGUGGAGAGAAGGCACGUUUCUGCUCCCAGAGGUGGGAAAUGUCGCUCAGGACGCAAUGCGGCGUUAUAUGAUAAACCACAUAUGAUACACCUGAUGGGAUUCAUCAGACUUACUUGAGCUUGUCCAAAAAUGAAACAUCUGGUUGAAGAUAUUUUUUCAGCUUAUUCAGGGCUGAAAUGAAUCAUUGUCAAGAGGUACAUGCACCUCCAGCAGGUGAUUCAUCCCUUGCCAGGGUACAUGAAAUGCUGACUGCUGACUAUGGCUAUGACACUCCAGCAGAAGUAUGCACUAUUCUCAUACCUAUAUAUAGAAGUCAAGGUUACAUGUCCAUCAGACUUGCAAACCUAUGUUUGGAUAGACCACAACUGAUGACACAUAAGAGGGAGAAAAGUCAAUGAAGAAUGAUAUAAACUGAGAAGUGCUCAGAGAUGUCAACAGGAAAAAUGUACCUUGAUUGAUGCAUUCCAUCUAUGUGGCCUCUGAAUACAUUAUAUACUUAUGGCUAUGCAAAGUUCUAUUAACAGUAAACACAAAUUAAAAAUCUUCCCCGUAUCUUCUGAGAUACUGCUACAUGAUAUCAUGGGCAAGUUAAUGGAGCUGUGCAACCUAUUCAUUUUCCCAUAAGCCAAGAUUUUCUGUUAAAGAGCCGCUGCUAGCAUGCUACGUCGAAUCAACCAUAACAUACCAUACUCUCUCACCAAUACUGUUUGGUGUAUCAGAUCUGAUGUAGCCUAGACAGGAAGUUCAUAUAAGAAUCAAUAAUACAGGACUACUUCUAAACUACUAGGCUAUCUGCUUUUACCAUUUCAGCCACAAAACCUAUUCUAAUUCUAAAAACAUACUUCAUUGUUUCCAAUGAAAACUGCCGUGAAAAUUCUGAUCCAUAUGAUAAAGCUUCAAUAUUUUGACUAUUUCAACUGACUCACAAUUAAAUGUCAAUGAAGUAACCGAU